rnacentral:rRNA from 1 species
UACGUAGGGCGCAAGCGUUAUCCGGAAUUAUUGGGCGUAAAGAGCUCGUAGGCGGUUUGUCGCGUCUGCCGUGAAAGCCCGGGGCUUAACCCCGGGUCUGCAGUCGAUACGGGCAGGCUAGAGUUCGGUAGGGGAGAUCGGAAUUCCUGGUGUAGCGGUGAAAUGCGCAGAUAUCAGGAGGAACACCGGUGGCGAAGGCGGGACUCUGGGCCGAUACUGACGCUGAGGAGCGAAAGCGUGGGGAGCAAACAGG